rnacentral:rRNA from 1 species
AGGGGGCACCUGNAUCAUGCAUGCCGCGUGAGUGAAGAAGGCCUUCGGGUUGUAAAGCUCUUUUGUCAGGGAAGAAACACCGGCUCUAACACAGUCCGGGAAUGACGGUACCUGAAGAAUAAGCACCGGCUAACUACGUGCCAGCAGCCGCGGUAAUACGUAGGGUGCGAGCGUUAAUCGGAAUUACUGGGCGUAAAGCGUGCGCAGGCGGUUGUACAAGACAGGCGUGAAAUCCCCGGGCUUAACCUGGGAAUGGCGCCUGUGACUGUACGGCUAGAGUGUGUCAGAGGGGGGUAGAAUUCCACGUGUAGCAGUGAAAUGCGUAGAUAUGUGGAGGAAUACCAAUGGCGAAGGCAGCCCCCUGGGAUAACACUGACGCUCAUGCACGAAAGCGUGGGGAGCAAACAGGAUUAGAUACCCUGGUAGUCCACGCCCUAAACGAUGCUGACUAGUUGUUCGGGAUUUACAUCCUGAGUAACGUAGCUAACGCGUGAAGUCAGCCGCCUGGGGAGUACGGUCGCAAGAUUAAAACUCAAAGGAAUUGACGGGGACCCGCACAAGCGGUGGAUGAUGUGGAUUAAUUCGAUGCAACGCGAAAAAACU